AAGGAACAGGGGCUGCAGAGGGAAAAGAGCAGGGGAACAGUUUGCCUUGUAAUAUGGCACAGAGGAGUUAGAGAUGUAACUGUUUUGUACCAUAGGUGUUAGUUUCUGUGAAGUUUGGAAGCAUUCUGUAACAGUCUCUCUAUACAAAGCUGACAGUGCUGGGAACAAGCAGAACUAGUCCAGACCUGGAGGAGUUGUGUCACCAAUAUUUCAGGCCAGCUUGAUCUGUUUGGGGUACCUCUCCAACAAUUUGGCUUUGGUUCACAGCUGGCCCUGAUCUGACACACAUGCUGCCUUGCACCUGAGGCUCCUUCUUGGCUUACCAUGAUCCAGGGAGACUCUGGACACAGGAUCCACGCUGGCUCCUUAGUGGGAUGACCUUCCAACACUUAUGCCAAGAGAGCUCCCAUCCUCACACACCCUUGUGCCAGCUGCUGGGAUUGCAGUGUGACACUGCUGGAGCUACUCAGAGCUGCUGGAGAAGCUGCAGAGAAACAGAAAUUGUCUCAGAACUUACUCAGUGGGAAAAAGGAGAUGUUUUCACAUAGCAUGAUAUGUCUGCAAAGUUCAGGAAAUACUGUCUCACUUUUUGAUGCACACCAACACCCCUGUCCAGUGCAGAAGCCUCGUGGGAACUUGCUGUGGGCAAGAAAGGGAAAUUCAACAUAUGGCUGUGUUAGGAGAGUGUGGUCACAACUGAGCAGUGAGUGCUGGAAUGAGGAACCCUCAGCACUGGGAUUUGGUCUGAAGAGCAUCAUCACAUAUGUCUGUU
rnacentral:lncRNA from 1 species